rnacentral:lncRNA from 1 species
GCUAUGAUAUAUGCAAAUAAUUACGUUAUGCUAUGAGAAAACAAAUUCAUGGAAUAGAUUUGACUCUUUUGAAAAAAAUUUGUAUAUAUGUAUGCUUAUGCACCAUUUAUGUUUUUACCUUUCGGGAAGGUAUUCGGCUCCGGUGCACCUCGACCUAAGAGUGUGUGGAUUUGGUCAUUUAUGACAUAUGAUACCCAACUAAGGCCGAGCGGUCAUAGAACAUAAUGUAUGUUGCAAGAAUUAUGUUGACUACAAUAUGAUCAAAUAUCAAGUAUUAGCAUGAACUUUGAAUAUGAUACUUCGAAAAGCAAGUGCUUU